rnacentral:rRNA from 1 species
AUUGAACGCUGGCGGCAGGCCUAACACAUGCAAGUCGAACGAGUGGCGGACGGGUGAGUAAUGUCUGGGAAACUGCCCGAUGGAGGGGGAUAACUACUGGAAACGGUAGCUAAUACCGCAUACCAUCGGAUGUGCCCAGAGGGGAUGGGCUAGUAGGUGGGGGAACGGCUCAACUAGGCGACGAUCCCUAGCUGGUCUGAGAGGAUGACCGGCGAGACUGGAACUGAGGCACGGUCCAGACUCCUACUGGAGGCAGCAGUGGGAACUAUUGCACAAUGGGCGCAAGCCUGAUGCAGCCAUGCCGCGUGUAUGAAGAAGGCCUUCGGGUUGUAAAGUACUUUCGGCGAGGGUGCGUUACUCGCAGAAGAAGCACCGGCUAACUCCGUGCCAGCAGCCGCGGUAAUAC